UCAUGCUUUCAAAGAUGAAUGACAAGUAACAUGUGUCCCUAUUUUUGAUCAUUGAUCUAUCGGUGCAUUCGAUACAUGGCGAGCGAAUAUGUAUGAGUUUGUUUCAAUUACAAUUUGACACGAAAUGUGCCAAGGAAAAGAAGAUAUUGCUCCUCCUUUGAAUGUAAUACAUUGUUAUUUUUUAUAAGGGUGGCGAUUAAUCAAUAAU
rnacentral:misc_RNA from 1 species